GGGGUCGUGGCGCAGCCAGGUAGCGCGGCGGGCUCCAGACCCGCUGGUCGUGGGUUCAAAUCCCACCGGCCCCA
rnacentral:tRNA from 1 species